GGAGUUUUUUAUUUUUAAAUGGAAAAUUCAGUUUGUUCUGACGGGACAGAAUGAAAAAUGAGAAACUAGACUGGUUGCUACCACAUGCCUGAGGGGUGACUCACCACCAGCUCUGCUGAGUGCAGACUCAGGGCAACUGCUGAGUGAGCAGCCCUACUUUGGCUGAAAUUAUGCCUCAAAGCCAGGCCUGCUAGAUCAAGCUGAAGCAACCCAGGAAUCUUUCUGGUUGCUGCUGCAUGUCUGAAGGGUGAUUCACCACCAGCCCUGCUGAUUGCAUGGUCAGGACAACAGCUGAGUGACCAGCCCUAGAUUGGCUGAGAGUUUGCCUCACAGCCAGGCCUGCAACCCAGGGACCUUGCUGGGCAGAAAGAAAGAAACACGACGAGAGCAGGAUGGAGGAUCCCGUGUGUGAUUGAUUGGAGCUUGCUGCACUUUACAUGGUAGGAAGGAGCUGAAGGGUAGUUGGAGCUUCUCCUCUUUUACAUCACUGGAAGGGGAGGGGAGAGAAGUAUGAGUGACCCCAACAGACGCUGCCUUCUGGAACAUUAUGGUAGCUCCCCCAGCACAGGUGCCUUGAUCAUACGAGUGGGAAUAAGCAGAGGCCACUCAAAGAAGAAUGACUGUCAAAGCCAUGUCACCGGUAUUUAGUAAUCAAAAUCCAUUUGUCAUUAUAGGAAUGUGUGAUCCCAGCAACAGUAACAAUUUUAAGAAAAAAUUUCCACUCAGUUCCUAAAUGUAUUCAAAAUAUAUUAUACCAAUCAAUAGUUUUUUAAGGUGAAAAUUCUUACCACAAUACUCACGUUUAUAAUUGAUGGACAGGUAGAUGGCAAAGAUUAUGAAGAUCAGGACAACUACUGUCAGAAUAAAUAUCUGAAUCCAAUCUGUGGUAGAAAAAUCAUCCAAGAAAUAUUACAAACUCCAGUACUUAUACAAUAUUGUAAGAUAUAUAAUACCAUUUCAGUUAUAAAACAUUGCUCAAGCAGCUCAUAUUAGAUUUAUACCAGACAAGAAGCUGUAAUAGCACUUUAUAGAGCAACACAAACAUUAAAAUAAAUAAAUAAAUAAAACACCCUAUUUUAUCUGUGUACAGUCUCAAUCCUGCAAACACUUAAGCGUAUGCUCAACUUCAAUUGCUUUCAAUGGGAGUACUCAGAGUAAUAAAGUUAAUCAUCUGCUCGCAGGGCCAGGAGCUUUAGAAUGACAGUGUUUCUUAAAAUAUGCUAGCUAACAUACUAACGAACAUGUUUACUAGUACUGGACUUUGGCACCUCUCCCUAGACUUAGAUGCCUAAGUCCUGCUCUCAGGGGAUACUAAGAUCCAUGAACUUAAUGUAUGGCUGCUGCUGAACCCUAUAGGUGCCUAAAUUCACCCAAUACUCAUAUUAUUGCUGUAAAAGUUCCCCAAAUGUUUUUGUUUCUAUCUCUGGGUGUGUGCAUGGCUGCCUCACUUGAUGUUCCCAGAUGCCUUCCUCCUUCCUAAACCCCAAAGCAAGCCAUGGACAAGAUGUUGCUCUGCCUAAUGUUCUGUGGGUCCAAUGUGUAGGUGUUCUCAAAGACUGCCUAAUUCUACACCAAAAGGGAGAGGAGGAGGAAGAAGAAGACAAUGUGUCUUGUGCUGACUGGCUGUUCAUUUCAACCCCCUCCUAUCCCCUCCCUCACAUCUUUGUUCUCCCCCUAAGACUCACUGACCCCGUGUCCACCUUUAUCCUCUUCUUCUCCCUGGCCUUGUCUCCCUCAAUCCCCUCCUUUUAACAUCCCCCCAUCCCUUUACUUUUAGCUAAUCACCUCCUAAGAAGAGAAAAAGAAAAGGAAAACAAAUUGUGGCACUAACAUACCAUUUGUUGCCAUCACACUGUUUUUUGUAAUAGCCCU